AUUGAACGCUGGCGGCAGGCCUAACACAUGCAAGUCGAGCGGAUGAGGGGAGCUUGCUCCUGGAUUCAGCGGCGGACGGGUGAGUAAUGCCUAGGAAUCUGCCUGGUAGUGGGGGAUAACGUCCGGAAACGGGCGCUAAUACCGCAUACGUCCUGAGGGAGAAAGUGGGGGAUCUUCGGACCUCACGCUAUCAGAUGAGCCUAGGCCGGAUUAGCUAGUUGGUGGGGUAAAGGCCUACCAAGGCGACGAUCCGUAACUGGUCUGAGAGGAUGAUCAGUCACACUGGAACUGAGACACGGUCCAGACUCCUACGGGAGGCAGCAGUGGGGAAUAUUGGACAAUGGGCGAAAGCCUGAUCCAGCCAUGCCGCGUGUGUGAAGAAGGUCUUCGGAUUGUAAAGCACUUUAAGUUGGGAGGAAGGGCAGUAAGUUAAUACCUUGCUGUUUUGACGUUACCAACAGAAUAAGCACCGGCUAACUUCGUG
rnacentral:rRNA from 1 species